rnacentral:rRNA from 1 species
GACGAACGCUGGCGGCGUGCUUAACACAUGCAAGUCGUACGGUAAGGCCCUUUCGGGGGUACACGAGUGGCGAACGGGUGAGUAACACGUGAGUAACCUGCCCACAACUUUGGGAUAACGCUAGGAAACUGGUGCUAAUACUGGAUAUGUGCUCCUGCUGCAUGGUGGGGGUUGGAAAGCUCCGGCGGUUGUGGAUGGACUCGCGGCCUAUCAGCUUGUUGGUGGGGUAGUGGCCUACCAAGGCGGCGACGGGUAGCCGGCCUGAGAGGGUGACCGGCCACAUUGGGACUGAGAUACGGCCCAGACUCCUACGGGAGGCAGCAGUGGGGAAUAUUGCACAAUGGGCGCAAGCCUGAUGCAGCAACGCCGCGUGCGGGAUGACGGCCUUCGGGUUGUAAACCGCUUUCAGCAGGGACGAAGCUUUUUGGGACGGUACCUGCAGAAGAAGCACCGGCUAACUACGG